CAUUAGAUGACUGAAAGCAAGUGUUGGUCUCUUAAACCAUUUUAUAGUAGAUUAGCCCCUACUUCUAAUGA
rnacentral:tRNA from 1 species